rfam:Larimichthys crocea isolate SSNF unplaced genomic scaffold scaffold97, whole genome shotgun sequence.
GGUCUCUGUUAGUUUUGCAUAGUUGCGCUGCAAGAAGAAAUAAGUUGUGCAAAUCUAUGCAAAACUGACAGUGGUC